GUGCCAGCCGCCGCGGUAAUACGUAGGGUGCAAGCGUUAAUCGGAAUUACUGGGCGUAAAGCGUGCGCAGGCGGUUAUGCAAGACAGAGGUGAAAUCCCCGGGCUCAACCUGGGAACUGCCUUUGUGACUGCAUGGCUAGAGUACGGUAGAGGGGGAUGGAAUUCCGCGUGUAGCAGUGAAAUGCGUAGAUAUGCGGAGGAACACCGAUGGCGAAGGCAAUCCCCUGGACCUGUACUGACGCUCAUGCACGAAAGCGUGGGGAGCAAACAGGAUUAGAUACCCUGGUAGUCCACGCCCUAAACGAUGUCAACUGGUUGUUAGGAGGGUUUCUUCUCAGUAACGUAGCUAACGCGUGAAGUUGACCGCCUGGGGAGUACGGCCGCAAGGUUGGAACUCAAAGGAAUUGACGGGGACCCGCACAAGCGGUGGAUGAUGUGGUUUAAUUCGAUGCAACGCGAAAAACCUUACCUACCCUUGACAUGUCUGGAAUCCUGAAGAGAUUUGGGAGUGCUCGAAAGAGAGCCAGAACACAGGUGCUGCAUGGCCGUCGUCAGCUCGUGUCGUGAGAUGUUGGGUUAAGUCCCGCAACGAGCGCAACCCUUGUCAUUAGUUGCUACGAAAGGGCACUCUAAUGAGACUGCCGGUGACAAACCGGAGGAAGGUGGGGAUGACGUCAGGUCAUCAUGGCCCUUAUGGGUAGGGCUACACACGUCAUACAAUGGCCGGGACAGAGGGCUGCCAACCCGCGAGGGGGAGCUAAUCCCAGAAACCCGGUCGUAGUCCGGAUCGUAGUCUGCAACUCGACUGCGUGAAGUCGGAAUCGCUAGUAAUCGCGGAUCAGCUUGCCGCGGUGAAUACGUUCCCGGGU
rnacentral:rRNA from 1 species